GAUGAACGCUGGCGGCGUGCCUAAUACAUGCAAGUCGAGCGAACGGACGAGAAGCUUGCUUUUCUGAUGUUAGCGGCGGACGGGUGAGUAACACGUGGAUAACCUACCUAUAAGACUGGGAUAACUUCGGGAAACCGGAGCUAAUACCGGAUAAUAUUUUGAACCGCAUGGUUCAAAAGUGAAAGACGGUCUUGCUGUCACUUAUAGAUGGAUCCGCGCUGCAUUAGCUAGUUGGUAAGGUAACGGCUUACCAAGGCAACGAUGCAUAGCCGACCUGAGAGGGGGAUCGGCCACACUGGAACUGAGACAGGGUCCAGACUCCGACGGGAGGCAGCAGUAGGGAAUCUUCCGCAAGGGGCGAAAGCCUGACGGAGCAACGCGGCGUGAGUGAUGAAGGUCUUCGGAUCGGAAAACUCUGUUAUUAGGGAAGAACAUAUGUGUAAGUAACUGUGCACAUCUUGACGGUACCUAAUCAGAAAGCCACGGCUAACUACGUG
rnacentral:rRNA from 1 species